AGCGAACGCUGGCGGCAGGCCUAACACAUGCAAGUCGAACGAAGUCUUCGGACUUAGUGGCGGACGGGUGAGUAACACGUGGGAACGUGCCUUUAGGUUCGGAAUAACUCGGGGAAACUUGUGCUAAUACCGAAUGUGCCCUUCGGGGGAAAGAUUUAUCGCCUUUAGAGCGGCCCGCGUCUGAUUAGCUUGUUGGUGGGGUAAUGGCCCACCAAGGCGACGAUCAGUAGCUGGUCUGAGAGGAUGACCAGCCACAUUGGGACUGAGACACGGCCCAAACUCCUACGGGAGGCAGCAGUGGGGAAUCUUGCGCAAUGGGCGAAAGCCUGACGCAGCCAUGCCGCGUGGAUGAUGAAGGUCUUAGGAUUGUAAAAUCCUUUCACCGGUGAAGAUAAUGACUGUAGCCGGAGAAGAAGCCCCGGCUAACUUCGUGCCAGCCGCCGCAGUAAUAC
rnacentral:rRNA from 1 species